UGGCGGCCUUAGCGCGGUGGUCCCACCUGACCCCAUGCCGAACUCAGAAGUGAAACGCCGUAGCGCCGAUGGUAGUGUGGGGUCUCCCCAUGCGAGAGUAGGGAACUGCCAGG
rnacentral:rRNA from 7 species